CGGGAAAAGCUCAAAUUUAAAAUCUGGCGGUCCCUGUGGCCGUCCGAGUUGUAAUUUAGAGAAGUGUUACCCGUGCUGGCCCGUGUAUAAGUCUCCUGGGAUGGAGCGUCAUAGAGGGUGAGAAUCCCGUCUUUGACACGGACUCCAGUACAUUGUGGUGCGCUCUC
rnacentral:rRNA from 1 species